GCUUAGUUAAGGAAGGCUUUCCCAAGGAGACAAGAAGCUUCUGAGGAGCAGAACUCCUAGGAGAGCUGAUCAGGCAUGAAGAUGGAGAAAAAAAGCAAGGAAAGGAGGAAAUAGCUUCUGCAUUUUUUCUCUAAUCAGCCGUGCAUAUUGCUGUUGAAGGCGAGAGAGGAAGGUUCCAGCUGGAGCAUGCCCAACAGAGCCUCCUCAGCCCACAGAUUGGGAUUAACCCCUGCUGAACUAGCGGAGGGCUGGUACACCUCAUCACAAGGUAAGCAGAAGAAAAAAAAACAGUGACUGUCAGCAAGAUCUUUUGCUCAGGAGAUGUUUAUAACAAGAAAGCAAAAUAAAAGUUAACACGGGCAGAAGUAAACAGAAAACGCCCCCAGCUUAGGGUUCACCUGGCGCCAGGGGCGGCUUCAGGCCCCAGCACGCCAAGCGCGUGCUUGGGGCGGCAUGCCGUGGGGGGCACUCUGCUGGUCGCC